rnacentral:rRNA from 1 species
UACGUAGGGUGCAAGCGUUAUCCGGAAUUAUUGGGCGUAAAGAGCUCGUAGGCGGUUUGUCGCGUCUGCUGUGAAAACCGGAGGCUCAACCUCCGGCCUGCAGUGGGUACGGGCAAACUAGAGUGCGGUAGGGGAGAUUGGAAUUCCUGGUGUAGCGGUGAAAUGCGCAGAUAUCGGGAGGAACACCCGUAGCGAAGGCGGCACUCUGGGCCGGAACUGGCGCUGAGGAGCGAAAGCGUGGGGAGCAAACAGG